rnacentral:rRNA from 4 species
UCCGGCCGGGAACUCAAAGGAGACUGCCAGUGAUAAACUGGAGGAAGGUGGGGAUGACGUCAAGUCAUCAUGGCCCUUACGACCAGGGCUACACACGUGCUACAAUGGCGCAUACAAAGAGAAGCGACCUCGCGAGAGCAAGCGGACCUCAUAAAGUGCGUCGUAGUCCGGAUUGGAGUCUGCAACUCGACUCCAUGAAGUCGGAAUCGCUAGUAAUCGUGGAUCAGAAUGCCACGGUGAAUACGUUCCCGGGCCUUGUACACACCGCCCGUCACACCAUGGGAGUGGGUUGCAAAAGAAGUAGGUAGCUUAACCUUCGGGAGGGCGCUUACCACUUUGUGAUUCAUGACUGGGGUGAAGUCGUAACAAGGUAACCGUAGGGGAACCUGCGGUUGGAUCACCUCCUUA